CAGCUACGACUUCCUGUCCGCUGAAGAGAAGGAGUGUCUGCUCUUCCUGGAGAAGACCAUUGGCUCGCUGGAGGCGGAGGCUGACAGUGGGCUCUCCACAGACGAGUCAGAGCCAGCCACCAGUCCUCAGAGUUUCCGAGCACUACCCACCACCACCCAACGAGCUCCACAGGGAAAGCCAGAGGCCAGAGACACUCAGCAGGUGCCAGUGCCAGUGCCAAAGAGAGCAGCCCAGUCCUCCGGUCCUCCUGAGUCUCCCAGCCCAGGCCUCAGGUCGGGUUCCUACAGCCUUCCCAGAAACCUCCACCUUGGCAGAAGCCAGAACCUCAGGAAAAGUGCCACCCAGACUAACAGCGUCUCUGAAGCACCUGAGGUAUUCUUAGAGGAGCCUAAGAAAGGGCAGACUAGGCAGGGUGCUAAGACCAUCCAGCCACCAGCCCCAUCCCAGGAGGGUACCCCUGACCUGAACACAGUUCUCAUACCCCCGCCAGAAGCUUUCCAGGACAUUACAUCAAAGAAAGCUGAGGGAGAAAGCCCACCUAAAAAGCCAGGAGAGCAGACACACAGGCCUCAGGGCCACAUUCUGGAGAGAAGUCCACACUCCCAGAAGAAAGCGGACAUGUCUUCUGAAACCAUGACCCAUAAAGCCACUGAAAAAGGUUGGACAGAGGGGCCACAGCGACCACAGCAGCCUCCCACCCAGCCAUCUCAGAACACACAAGCUGAAGAACCUUCCCUACCUUCAGGGGUCAAGCCAAACAUCCAACAGUCUCUCCUCACAGCCACAAAGCCCCGUAGGCUGCCACCUAACAUCGUCCUGAAGAGCAGCCGGAGCAGUUUCCACAGCCAUCCCCAGAACUGGCUGUCAAAUCACACCGAAGCCACAGACUCGGGCCCUGUCUCCUCUUUGCAAGAACAAAGGAAAGCGCGCAGAGAGGCUCUGGAAAAGCUAGGGCUGCCCCAGGACCAAGAUGAUCCCAG
rnacentral:lncRNA from 1 species